rnacentral:rRNA from 1 species
CAGUAGCCGCGGGAAUACGGAGGGUGCAAGCGUUAAUCGGAAUUACUGGGCGUAAAGCGUGCGUAGGCGGUUCGUUAAGUCUGUUGUGAAAGCCCCGGGCUCAACCUGGGAAUGGCAAUGGAUACUGGCGAGCUAGAGUGUGUCAGAGGAUGGUGGAAUUCCCGGUGUAGCGGUGAAAUGCGUAGAGAUCGGGAGGAACAUCAGUGGCGAAGGCGGCCAUCUGGUACAACACUGACGCUGAGGCACGAAAGCGUGGGGAGCAAACAGGAUUAGAUACCCCAGUAGUCCCUGUCUCUUAUAA